CGGUUGAUCCUGCCGGAGAUCACUGCUAUUGGAAUUCGGCUAAGGCAUGCGAGUCGAGAGGGUUCGGCCCUCGGCGGACGGCUCAGUAACACGUGGACAAUCUGCCCUUAGGUGGGGGAUAAUCUCGAGAAAUUGAGCAUAAUACCCCAUAGUUCUAGAUUGCUGGAAUGCUUUUAGAAUAAAAGCUCUGGCGCCUAAGGAUGAGUCUGCGGCCUAUCAGGUUGUAGUGAGUGUAACGGACUCACUAGCCGACGACGGGUACGGGUCCUGGAAGGGAGUGCCCGGAGAUGGACUCUGAGACACGAGUCCAGGCCCUACGGGGCGCAGCAGCUACGAAAACUUCGCAAUGCGGGAAACCGCGACGAGGGAAUUCCAAGUGCUAAUACUUUGUAUUAGCUGUUUACUUGCCUAAAAAGCAGGUAGAGUAAGGGCUGGGUAAGACUGGUGCCAGCCGCCGCGGUAAUACCAGCAGCCCGAGUGGUGAUCGUUUUUAUUGGGCCUAAAGCGUCCGUAGCCGGUUUAGUAAACCCUUGGGUAAAUCGGGCAGCUUAACUGUCCGAAUUCUGAGGAGACUGUUAGACUUGGGACCGGGAGAGGUCAGAGGUACUCUUGGGGUAGGGGUGAAAUCCUGUAAUCCUAAGAGGACCACCAGUGGCGAAGGCGUCUGACUAGAACGGGUCCGACGGUAAGGGACGAAGCCCUGGGUCACGAACCGGAUUAGAUACCCGGGUAGUCCAGGGUGUAAACGCUGCGGGCUUGGUGUUGGGGGUCCUACGAGGGCGUCCAGUGCCGGAGAGAAGUUGUUAAGCCCGCCGCCUGGGGAGUACGGUCGCAAGAUUGAAACUUAAAGGAAUUGGCGGGGGAGCAC
rnacentral:rRNA from 1 species